rnacentral:lncRNA from 1 species
AUGAGAGCCAUACCAACUCCUUCAAACAGCGCCAUAAGUUCGCUAAACUGGACAGAGAGACAAACUUGGUAAAUACACCAAGGUUGCUGCCAUCAUGAUUACGAAAUAUGCCACCAAGACCAGUUCUUCCAGAAGUAGGAUCAAAUGUUGCAUCCACAUUAAGUUUGACAAAAGGUCUUUUCCAUUUGGUAACUCUAGGACUUCGUUGAGAGGAGUGAGCUAGAUGACAAAAACCAAGAGGACAAAUCAAAAUUAGCCACUCAUAGUGAUACUGUGAGUCCAAUGCGUUUACACGGGUAAAAGGUAAUUAUCUUUAAUUCAAAGUCUCAUAAUUUAAUUUAUAAAAAAUACUCAUUUAGUACUAAUUUGAAGAGCUGAUAGCCCAUUCCAAUAAAAAUCAUUUUUCAUUGCCCAUUUACACAAAUCUUAAGAAAAAGACAAUAUUGUCCAUCAUAAAUAUCAAACCUACCUCUCAUCUUUCUUAUUUACCCGAUCAGGCCUCUCUCUCUCUCUCUCNCNCUCNCUCUCUNNNN